AAAGCUGUAAUAGCACCUAAUUUCGACUUAGUUUAUGAGAGUAAAAGCCCUCUCUGUUUAUUAAUU
rnacentral:tRNA from 1 species